UACGUAGGGUGCAAGCAUUAAUCGGAAUUAUUGGGCGUAAAGGGCGCGUAGGCGGACUUUUAAGUCAGAUGUGAAAUUCCGGGGCUCAACCUCGGAGCUGCAUUUGAAACUGUGAGUCUAGAGGGUUGACGGAGAAAACGGAAUUCCACGUGUAGCGGUGAAAUGCGUAGAUAUCAGGAGGAACACCGGUGGCGAAGGCGGGACUCUGGGCCGAUACUGACGCUGAGGAGCGAAAGCGUGGGGAGCAAACAGG
rnacentral:rRNA from 1 species